AUUGAACGCUGGCGGCAGGCCUAACACAUGCAAGUCGAACGAGUGGCGGACGGGUGAGUAAUGUCUGGGAAACUGCCCGAUGGAGGGGGAUAACUACUGGAAACGGUAGCUAAUACCGCAUACCAUCUGAUGUGCCCAGAUGGGAUUAGCUAGGAGGUGGGGUAACGGCUCACCUAGGCGACGAUCCCUAGCUGGUCUGAGAGGAUGACCAGCCACACUGGAAAUGAGACACGGUCACAACGCAUACGGGAGGCAGCAGUGGGGAAUAUUGCACAAUGGGCGCAAGCCUGAUGCAGCCAUGCCGCGUGUAUGAAGAAGGCCUUCGGGUUGUAAAGUACUUUCAGCGAGGAGGCGUUACUCGCAGAAGAAGCACCGGCUAACUCCGUGCCAGCCGCCGCGGUAAUUC
rnacentral:rRNA from 1 species